GAUGAACGCUGGCGGCGUGCCUAAUACAUGCAAGUCGAGCGAACGGACGAGAAGCUUGCUUCUCUGAUGUUAGCGGCGGACGGGUGAGUAACACGUGGAUAACCUACCUAUAAGACUGGGAUAACUUCGGGAAACCGUAGCUAAUACCGGAUAAUAUUUUGAACCGCAUGGUUCAAAAGUGAAAGACGGUCUUGCUGUCACUUAUAGAUGGAUCCGCGCUGCAUUAGCUAGUUGGUAAGGUAACGGCUUACCAAGGCAACGAUGCAUAGCCGACCUGAGAGGGUGAUCGGCCACACUGGAACUGAGACACGGUCCAGACUCCUACGGGAGGCAGCAGUAGGGAAUCUUCCGCAAUGGGCGAAAGCCUGACGGAGCAACGCCGCGUGAGUGAUGAAGGUCUUCGGAUCGUAAAACUCUGAUAUUAGGGAAGAACAUAUGUGUAAGUAACUGUGCACAUCUUGACGGUACCUAAUCAGAAAGCCACGGCUAACUACGUG
rnacentral:rRNA from 1 species